UACGUAGGCAGCAAGCGUUGUUCGGAUUUACUGGGCGUAAAGGGUGUGUAGGCGGUUGCUUAAGUUUGGUGUGAAAUCUCCCGGCUCAACUGGGAGGGUGCGCCGAAUACUGAGUGACUAGAGUGCGGGAGAGGAAAGUGGAAUUCCUGGUGUAGCGGUGAAAUGCGUAGAUAUCAGGAGGAACACCGGUGGUGUAGACGGCUUUCUGGACCGUAACUGACGCUGAGACACGAAAGCGUGGGUAGCAAACAGG
rnacentral:rRNA from 1 species